rnacentral:rRNA from 1 species
CCCUUAGAUGUUCUGGGCCGCACGCGUGCUACACUGAGUAAUUCAAUGGGUAAGGGAACGCUAGAGCAUUACCUAAUCUUGAAAUUUGCUCGUGAUGGGGAUCGACGGUUGCAAUUUUCCGUCGUGAACGAGGAAUACCUUGUAGGCGCAUGUCAUCAUCAUGCGCCGAAUACGUCCCUGCCCUUUGUACACACCGCCCGUCGCUCCUACCGAUUGAGUGAUCCGGUAAGGCUCUGGGACCUGGACGGAAAGAGCGUUUCGCUUGUUCUGUUUGGGAAACUUGGUCGAACCUUAUCAUUUAGAGGAAGGAGAAGUCGUAACA